ACAUCAAACUCCCAAAGCUUCUGGAACAGUGGUGUCCAAACUUAUUCUGGGGACACCUAGAAAGGUCUCUAGUACCCUAGGGAGAUUCUGUGAAUAUUUAUAAAAGAGGUAAUGUCAGUUUAUCUAACAAAACCUAAAUCCGAGUGUCCUAAAGGAGUGGAGCCUCUCUGUGUGUACUGGGAGUGAGUAACGAGGAGACAGGUGAUGAUUCAAAGUCAAGCAAACCCACUUUCUCCUGGUGGUCAGUGCUGAGUAAGCAUGCUCCAGCCCCCUCCCACUGCUCUCCUGUUUAGUUAGAGGCUCCCAAAGAGGGCCAACAGCUGCGAGGCUCUUCAUUAGAGCCUUGAAAUUUGAAACAACAGAUCAAAGUCUGAGGAGCCAUAUUGAGCUGUGGGGAACGCUUGCUCGCUGACUGAGGUCAGGAAAGGUCCAAACCCCUAGCAUUCCAGGGCUUUGGGCUAGUCCCCUGCCACUGUGGAGGAGGGGGCUGCAGCCGUGGGUGCGAGGCCACACGAGGUGCGUGGCAGAGUCGUGGAACCAAAGAGGGCUGUGUCCAGAGAGGAUAACAGUGACAAAUAUUUUUGCUGGCUGCAUUAAAGAAGAUACCGAAGAACAUCAUCCAAGAGGUUCUUUUGAACACUGUGAGAAAACUGAAGUGUCUGAAAGCAUGACUGACUGAAGCAGUGGCGAGAAGAAGGCAUCUAUGUUUUUGUAACUGCUGAUGGCCAUGACUCCAUACUGUCAAAAGAACAUGAACAAGGCUUCCUAAGGCCCACCUGACUUCACACUCCAGAAUGUCUGGCUCUAGGCAUUCUUAGUGCAUACGAUCUCUUCUGGAGAAAAGGCUCACUCUGAGGUACACUUUGAGAGAAAUGGGUUCAGUAGAGUCUUCCAAACAAACAAAUCAAGAAACUUAAAGUGGGAAUAGACAAGUAGGGGCAUUAGAACCCUGAAGAGAGAGGCUUUUUGCACCUGUAGCAUACACGAGGCAACGAUAAAGGCUGAAGCAAGAAACCAGGUGUGACCACUUUCCAGUGAAUUUGGGUUGAAAAAUUGCUAUUCAUGUGAAGUCCAGCAAUGCCGCAGAACUAGUCUCUGAAACAUUCAUCAGCUUAAUCCAGUGUGUAUGAUGUUCUUCUGGUUUUCAUUAGCAUUUUCCUACUUCGAAAUAAGUAGGUGCAUUGUUCCUAGAAAGUGGAGAGUACUCAAUGAGACACUCCUUGUGUGGGAGCUGAAGCGGCUGCCAUGAGGUUAUGGAGAAUGUCUUUCACAUCUUUCUAUCCCUAGCACUAGCACAGUGCCUAGCAUAGGAAGGAGCUCAAAAAGUGUUCGUAGAAUUAUCUUCAAACUUUAGUUGUCCUUCCCAAAGAAGCUUCUCUUGCCCACACUCGGCCGCAAGCAGGUCCGCUCCUAGAAAUAACAUUUAUUCUAAGGACCUCUACGCAGAGAGUCUUGGGAAGCGGUUCCCCUCCCUCAUUACCUCGUUACUCCUCCCCUCUGUAGCCUUUGAAAGAACAGGCACGCCACGUGAUUCCCUCCUUUAUCCCACCUCCGAGAAAACCUGGUUGAUAAUGGGCAGGAGCAUAGGCCAACCAUAAGACUUUACUUUCUCUUCCAUCCAAUAAAAAG
ensembl:lncRNA